CCGCCCCUCUUUGCCACGUCAGGCGGCACGUCUGCCUGUGGUUGGGUAGCCAAUCUGCGCAUGCGUGAAAGCGGAUUGGGCCGCGGUGAUGAGGAGGAUGAUGAUGCCUGAUCUGUACCGCGCGUGCGCAAACAGGUAAAGGAGCUGGAUCUGGAAAGGUCAUGGCCAUAGACUGUUUGGUGAACUGGGAUGUUUGGAUGCUGUCACAUUACCACUCUCACAUAUUCACUCAGCCGAACCCUCUCCCCCCAGUGAUGCUUAAGGAUGUUCAGGCAGCACUGAAGGAGAGACCAUAUCUGCUCCAGGGAUAGAGCCUCAAAGGAAAAACAGAGAAAAACAAAAGAAAACAUAAAAUUUGAAUAAAAUGUCUACUCUCACUGUAGGAGCUGUUACUCAGAGCACUGCUUAGUAUACUGAGUACAAAAUGACAAAGACACCUGAGCUAGUCUCUCUCUCUCUCUCUCUCUCUCUCUCUCUCUCUCUCUCUCACUCUCUCAAACACACACACACACACACACAUUCUUUCUUUC